UACGGGGGGGAGCAAGCGUUGUUCGGAUUUACUGGGCGUAAAGGGCGCGUAGGCGGUCGUGACAAGUCACUUGUGAAAUCUCCGGGCUUAACUCGGAACGGUCAAGUGAUACUGUCGGACUAGAGUACAGAAGGGGCAACUGGAAUUCUCGGUGUAGCGGUGAAAUGCGUAGAUAUCGAGAGGAACACCUGCGGCGAAGGCAGCUAACUGGGCAUUAUCUGACGCUGAGGCGCGAAAGCGUGGGGAGCAAACAGG
rnacentral:rRNA from 1 species